rnacentral:rRNA from 1 species
UACGUAGGGGGCGAGCGUUGUCCGGAAUUAUUGGGCGUAAAGAGCUCGUAGGCGGUUCGGCAAGUCACGUGUGAAAUCUCCACGCUCAACGUGGAGGCGCCACGUGAGACUGCUGUGACUCGAGUCCGGUAGGGGAGCGUGGAAUUCCCGGUGUAGCGGUGAAAUGCGCAGAGAUCGGGAGGAACACCUAUGGCGAAGGCAGCUCGCUGGGACGUUACUGACGCUGAGACGCGAAAGCGUGGGGAGCAAACAGG